rnacentral:rRNA from 1 species
GCACAAGCAGCGGAGCGUGUGGUUUAAUUCGAUGUUACACGAAGAACCUUACCCAGGCUUGACAUGUUGGUGGUAGGGAUCCGAAAGGUGACCGACCCUUCGGGGAGCCUUCACAGGUGCUGCAUGGCUGUCGUCAGCUCGUGUCGUGAGAUGUCCGGUUAAGUCCGGUAACGAGCGCAACCCUCGCUGUGUGUUAUAUGUGUCACACGGGACUGCCGGUAUCAAGCCGGAGGAAGGUGGGGAUGACGUCAAGUCCUCAUGGCCCUUAUGGGUAGGGCUUCACACGUCAUACAAUGGUCGGUACAGAGGGUUGCCAACCCGCGAGGGGGAGCUAAUCCCACAAAGCCGAUCGUAGUCCGGAUCGCAGUCUGCAACUCGACUGCGUGAAGUCGGAAUCGCUAGUAAUCGUGGAUCAGCAUGUCACGGUGAAUACGUUCCCGGGUCUU